GUGAGGAAUAUUGGUCAAUGGACGAGAGUCUGAACCAGCCAAGUCGCGUGAAGGAAGACGGUUCUAUGAAUUGUAAACUUCUUUUGUGCAGGAAUAAAGUGGGUUACGUGUAACCUUUUGUAUGUACUGUACGAAUAGGGAUCGGCUAACUCCGUGCCAGCAGCCGCGGUAAUACGGAGGAUCCGAGCGUUAUCCGGAUUUAUUGGGUUUAAAGGGUGCGUAGGUGGAUUGAUAAGUCAGCGGUGAAAGUUUGCAGCUUAACUGUAAAAUUGCCGUUGAAACUGUCGGUAUGGAGUGCAAAUGAGGUAGGCGGAAUGUGUUGUGUAGCGGUGAAAUGCUUAGAUAUAACACAGAACUCCGAUUGCGAAGGCAGCUUACUGGGAUGCAACUGACACUGAUGCACGAAAGCGUGGGUAUCAAACAGGAUUAGAAACCCUUGUAGUCC
rnacentral:rRNA from 1 species